UAUAAUUGUUUUAGUGCUUGAUAUAAGAUCUUAAAAAUAUGGAAAACAUGACCCAAGUAAUAAUAUUUCAAAAGAUUUAGUUUAACUAUUCAUAUUUUCAAAUUCAAUCUUUUAACGGCACCGGAAUAGAAAACAAAAAUGUUUAUACGACAAGGAAUCUGUGUUUUCUUUAUUUGGCUGGAAAGCAAAAAAUUUUCGUAUUCAGAAAAUGUAACAUGAUGUAGUGUGGCUUUGCUUUCCUUCUCGACAUUAUGAUGUGUUUGUGACCCCGUUAGUUUAAAUACGCCCACUUCGUUGAGUACGUUUUGUAAACAAUCGACCCGGUAACGUUUUUAUAUUUUGGUUAUUAGUUAAGGUAUUUGUCGCGUCUGAAACUGUGGUGCAUUCCAGUCUGGGAGCCUUUUUUCUUCUCGUGAUUUUUAAAAUGAAUUACGUACGUAAAUAUUGAGCCACAGGAGUACCUCACCUCUGGCUUCCUCCCCAGGUCACAGAGAUGACUAGCUGGGUUCUCAAGAGUGUUUCACCAGCUAAUAAUGGAGAAAUGUUGAUCUUUCACUAUAACCACGCUGUGGGUGAUGCUGGCUGGGAGACCACCAGUAGCUUGCUCACUCUUGUCCAUUCUCCACAUUUUCUCGCUGAUGAUGGGAUUUCAUGGGUGUAACACUGAUUCAAGUAUUUCAGAGACAGCUGGGUUUCUGUGGAUGAAAAAGGAGGCACCACAGCCUACAUGUUCCUAGGCAUUUUAAGGACACCAUUCAAUAUCAUAAUAUUUGAAGUUGUAUAGUAAUCAGAGAAAGUAUUGUUCUGAAAAACUUUUAUUGUAGGUGAUUGUUGUUCACUGUGGCCUUAUGGUAGUGCUGACAACUGAGAAGCAAGCCCAGGACUGCUUCACUGUUUGGUCAGCAUAAGAAAUGUGAUUUCUUAAAAAUAAUACAGACAUCCCCUGCCUUGCCAGAGUAAUACAUUUCUGAAGACAACAUUCCCUGAAUGUAAUUACUAUUAAUUACAAUCAAAGAAAUCUUCUAGAAUUCCUGAUCUCAAAAACUUAUAUCUAUUUCUUAAAGAAACAAAUUGAAGUACAAUGAGCGAAGCAUUUCUUGAUAGUAAAUCUUCUAAUAAAAGAGAGAGCAAGUACGUCAGUAAUCAAUUUUCCAUUAAUAUUGCCCGACUCAUUAAUUACUCAGUAUUUUGAUCGUUUAGCUCAGUUGUUCACUUGCUGACCCACUCUCAUUGCUACAAUCAUAUACACUGUACACUGAUGCCUACUUUCACAACCAAGUGUGAAUAGAUUUUCAUUAGAUUUGCUUGGAAAAAAUGCAACACGUCAAAAGAUAUAUAAAUGCAAUGAGUCAUAUCGUUGUAUCAUACACUGAGUAAGAUGUACAAAUCAAGAAGUGAUAGGAUAUAUAGUCAGUUUUGAGUGUUAAUUGUUGACUGAGGUGACAAAGUGAGAAAAUAACAGAGUGCAUGAGCAAAGAAUGACAGAAUGUGAGCUGGUCCAAUGCCAUAAACCUGAACUGACAUCAUCUGAAGAUGCAUGUUCUCCAGUGAUCCCAGCACAUUUCAGCCUUCACAUCCAAGGACUGAGAUGCAUGCCUGGCUCUUCCUAUUAACAUUACCAUUACUCUUAUCUUUGUUCAUCGUUGUUUUGACAGGUAGAAUCCAGGCUUGCAAGAUCACCAUUAAUGGUGGCACAUCAAGCAGGAUUGCUAUGUGCAAGUCAUAUCAGUUCUUUGCUUUUCAACCUCAUUCAAGAUCUUCACUAAGUAAUACUGCAUCAAGUGAGCAAAUGUGCAUCAAGUGGAAUCACAUAUGUCCAUGUCACACAAACAAAUUUCUUGCAUCUUUGUCUUUUGGAGGUCAUUUGAGGUAUGCUGAUGGUUCUCUGGAAGCAAAUGAGGAAUUGUGUAUGAUUUUCCUUUUGCUACCAUUUUUUUUUUUUUCCCACCAUUACCAACAUCACUCAGUAGCAAGAUGAAAGACAAUACUGUUUGUGCUUAGGGAUGAAGGAGUCAUUGUAAUGCUCCUUACUUAGAAAUGUAAAUACAUAUUUUUGUUUCUAACAUUCAGAUCUCAAGAAAUGCCUGUAUUAUGAAAGACUUGACACGAGUAUUAUUGACAUUACCAUACAGUAAAACCUUUAUGUAAUGAACCACUAUAGAACACAUUUUGUUUUAUGAUUACCUUUUCAAGAUAAAAUGAACAAACAUCCACACAUCCAAUCUUUGACCCACAUAUCUGACAGGUACAUAGUGUUACUAGUUUCAGAGGGAAUAUGAACUCUUUCUCUCUCUCACCACCAAUUCUUUUCCCAUCUCCCUCUCCAACCUGCCCACACCACCUCAACACUACAUGUACACAGCAAUGAU